rnacentral:rRNA from 1 species
GACGAACGCUGGCGGCGUGCUUAACACAUGCAAGUCGAACGGUGAAAGCGGAGCUUGCUCCGCUGGAUCAGUGGCGAACGGGUGAGUAACACGUGGGCAACCUGCCCCUCACUUCGGGAUAACUCCGGGAAACCGGGGCUAAUACCGGAUAUGACCUCCUUGGGCAUCCUUGGAGGUGGAAAGUUUUUCGGUGAGGGAUGGGCCCGCGGCCUACCAGCUUGUUGGCGAGGUAACGGCUCACCAAGGCGACGACGGGUAGCCGGCCUGAGAGGGUGACCGGCCACACUGGGACUGAGACACGGCCCAGACUCCUACGGGAGGCAGCAGUGGGGAAUAUUGCACAAUGGGCGCAAGCCUGAUGCAGCAACGCCGCGUGAGGGAUGACGGCCUUCGGGUUGUAAACCUCUUUUAGUAGGGAAGAAGCGAAAGUGACGGUACCUGCAGAAAAAGCACCGGCUAACUACGUGCCAGCCGCCGCUGUAA